CACGUAGGCGGUUCGCCAAGUCGCAUGUGAAAUCCCCCGGCUCAACCGGGGAAUGGCGCGCGAUACUAGCGAGCUUGAGAUCGGGAGGGGUGAGCGGAACUCCAGGUGGAGCGGUGAAAUGCGUAGAUGUCUGGAGGAACACCGGUGGCGAAAGCGGCUCACUGGCUCGACACUGACGCUGAGGUGCGAAAGCUAGGGUAGCAAACG
rnacentral:rRNA from 1 species